UACCAGCACCCCGAGUGGUUGGGACGAUUAUUGGGCCUAAAGCAUCCGUAGCCGGUCCUACAAGUCUUCCGUUAAAUCCACCUGCUUAACAGAUGGGCUGCGGAAGAUACUAUAGGGCUAGGAGGCGGGAGAGGCAAGCGGUACUCAGUGGGUAGGGGUAAAAUCCUCUGAUCCAUUGAAGACCACCAGUGGCGAAGGCGGCUUGCCAGAACGCGCUCGACGGUGAGGGAUGAAAGCUGGGGGAGCAAACCGG
rnacentral:rRNA from 1 species